GCGACAGCUGCGUCUCCGGCGAGCCAUGUGCGGCUGAGGGGAUGCACACAUCGAGCUUCAUCGCGCAUGCGCGGGUGCUGGAUCCGGUCGCGGUCCGUUCAGAUCCGCGACGUUGCUGGUCUCCGGCGAUUUCAAGGUCGAUCUGAAGCGGGGUGCCUCGAUCUGCAACGCCAGAAGCUACGGUACGCUGGUCCGAACCCUUUCCUCCUCUACUUCUUCCAUAUGUGGAUUCCCUGGCCUGGUCUCCUCCUCGCCUUCUGUUUCGAGGCGGCUCCCCGACGGUCAAGACACGGCCACGGUGGUGCAGCCUGUCGUCUUCAUCGCCGGCAAGAAGCACCACCACGACGUGCAGUCACGGUGGUGCAACAUGUGGUCUACAUCGUCUACCACUCCGCCGUCUUCCACAAUCCCCCCACUUCCGCGGCAAGGCUGAGUCACUAAUGAACAUCGGAAACCCAAUUCAGGCAGGGCAAGAGUUGCUAAGAAGAGGAACCCGAACUAAAUGGGUUGUGAUCAAAAUGGGUUCCAAGGGAUCGACCAUGAUCACUGAAAGUGCUGUUUCUUGUGCACCUUCUUUCAAGCAUGAAGGGCCAUUUUUUGAGUCGCUUGGUGACCAUGAGAUGCUGGCCUCCUAAUUGUUCCCCAUACCCUUUUACAGAAG